ACUACGUGCCAGCAGCCGCGGUAAUACGUAGGUGGCAAGCGUUGUCCGGAAUUAUUGGGCGUAAAGCGCUCGCAGGCGGUCCUUUAAGUCUGAUGUGAAAUCUCGCGGCUCAACCGCGAACGGUCAUUGGAAACUGGAGGACUUGAGUACAGAAGAGGAGAGUGGAAUUCCACGUGUAGCGGUGAAAUGCGUAGAGAUGUGGAGGAACACCAGUGGCGAAGGCGACUUUCUGGUCUG
rnacentral:rRNA from 4 species